GCUGGGCAUGGUGGCUCACGCCUGUAAUCCCAGCACUUUGGGAGGCCGAGGCGGGUGGAUCACCUGAGGUCAGGAGUUUGAGACCAGCCUGACCAACAUGGUGAAACCCCGUCUCUA
rfam:Pan troglodytes isolate Yerkes chimp pedigree #C0471 (Clint) chromosome 18, whole genome shotgun sequence.